rnacentral:rRNA from 1 species
GCGGCGACGGGUGAGGAACACGUGAGGAAUCUGCCUUCCACUCUGGGAUAACUCCGGGAAACCGGGGCUAAUACCGGAUACUUUCAACUGGCGGCAUCGCCAGUUGAAGAAAGUUUUUCGGUGGAAGAUGACCUCGCGGCCUAUCAGCUUGUUGGUGAGGUAAAGGCUCACCAAGGCGACGACGGGUAGCCGGCCUGAGAGGGCGACCGGCCACACUGGGACUGAGACACGGCCCAGACUCCUACGGGAGGCAGCAGUGGGGAAUAUUGGGCAAUGGAGGAAACUCUGACCCAGCGACGCCGCGUGAGGGAUGAAGGCCUUCGGGUUGUAAACCUCUUUCAGCAGGGAAUAAGCGAAAGUGAAGGUACCUGCAGAAGAAGCACCGGCUAACUAUGUGCCAGCAGCCGCGGUAAUACAUAGGGUGCAAGCGUUGUCCGGAAUUAUUGGGCGUAAAGAGCUCGUAGGUGGUCGAUCACGUCGGAUGUGAAAUUCUGAGGCUUAACCUCGGACCUGCAUUCGAUACGGGUUGACUAGAGUGUGGUAGGGGAGACUGGAAUUCCUGGUGUAGCGGUGGAAUGCGCAGAUAUCAGGAGGAACACCGAUGGCGAAGGCAGGUCUCUGGGCCAUUACUGACACUGAGGAGCGAAAGCGUGGGGAGCGAACAGGAUUAGAUACCCUGGUAGUCCACGCCGUAAACGGUGGGCGCUAGUUGUGGGAACCUUCCACGGUUUCUGCGACGCAGCUAACGCAUUAAGCGCCCCGCCUGGGGAGUACGGUCGCAAGACUAAAACUCAAAGGAAUUGACGGGGCCCCGCACAAGCAGCGGAGCAUGCGGCUUAAUUCGACGCAACGCGAAGAACCUUACCAAGGCUUGACAUAU